CCGGGGAGGGGAUCACGUGGCGUCGGCGGGGGAGGGAUCGCGGUCGUGCAGCAUAAGGGUCACUGGGCGUUGGGUCCACGCGGCGUAGGGGUCACUGGAUGUUGGGGCCGCGCGGCGUAGGGGCCGCUGGGGAUCGGGGUCGCGCGGGGAAGGGGCCACGGAGGCUAGGGGUGGGCGGUGGCAGCGAGGAGGCCAGGCCGCUCUGGUCGUGACGGGAGCUGAGAUGUUGUGUAGAGGCGAGGAUAGCGUAGAGUCCAGUCGAGACGUCCGGAGGGAGGAAGACAGCAAGGAGGGUCGGGGGAGUAGAGAAAGCUCCACGAGCCGAGCGACGGAGCAUGAACUGGAAGGGCGAGGAGGUGGGGACAUGGCGGCGAGGGAGGACGACAGGAGUGGGUGUUCGAGCCAGGGAACUGUCUUUAACAACAUAGGAUGGCCACGAUGAAGAGGCUGCUCCAGUAACACAACGUAUACGCGACCGUUUGUUGUAGCAGAGACCAAAACAAAGGGAAUUGUUAGCUCUGCCGUACGAGGUGAACCGAAGUUUACGUGGCACCCGGACGAGGUGAACCGAAGGUGUCGUGGUGGCCGUCUGCUCGGGCCUACGGUAGCAGGCUUGACGGUGUGGCGGGUCGGCGUUGCGAGGAGGUCGGUGGUAGGCCGCCGCGUGCCACGAGGUUCAUGCAGGACACCUACGGAGGAGGAGAACGGAUGAGAAACGCUUCGCGUGCUGGCAGAGGGAAGACGGGGUAGGUAGGUCCAGCGUGGGAGAAGGAAGACGUCCGGUGGUGGAGGACGAAGACGUCCGGCACGGUGUAGGGGGGUGGGCGUCGCCUGUCCGGCAAGUGGCGGCCGUGGUAUCAGGCAAGUGAUGGCUGUCGGUUCCGGCAAGUUGCUACGUUGCUGCUCAUGAUCAAACCUUCCGGUCCUUCAAGAUGAAGACCGUAUUCGGUUGCCUCGUAGCCAGCUUCUUCCGGCUACGCGGAGCACGGUCGAGGCCCGUAGCGGCCUCCGGGAUAGACAAGAAGGUGGGGGGGCCACGUGAGUGGCAGCUCGGAUAGGUACGUGUUGAGAUCAUAAAUACUCGAAGUCCGAACAGCAACAAGUACGUCUAAUUAAGAAACAAUUAACGAUAACGUGUAAGUCAUUUACAUCGGAAACAUAAGAGUCACUUCAAAAUAACACUUCUACAAAAUUACGUGUGGCUUUGGUCUAACAGACGACGAUGUACGCGUAGUAUACGCAUAAAAAGGUAGCUCUUUGGAGUAGUAUACAUUUACAGAAGAUUGAGAUCUAAAACUACUACGUUUCAACAUAGGCAC
rnacentral:rRNA from 1 species